AGCGAACGCUGGCGGCAGGCUUAACACAUGCAAGUCGAACGGGCACUUCGGUGUCAGUGGCAGACGGGUGAGUAACACGUGGGAACGUACCUUUUGGUUCGGAACAACUGAGGGAAACUUCAGCUAAUACCGGAUAAGCCCUUACGGGGAAAGAUUUAUCGCCGAAAGGUCGGCCCGCGUCUGAUUAGCUAGUUGGUAGGGUAAUGGCCUACCAAGGCGACGAUCAGUAGCUGGUCUGAGAGGAUGAUCAGCCACAUUGGGACUGAGACACGGCCCAAACUCCUACGGGAGGCAGCAGUGGGGAAUAUUGGACAAUGGGGGCAACCCUGAUCCAGCCAUGCCGCGUGAGUGAUGAAGGCCCUAGGGUUGUAAAGCUCUUUUGUGCGGGAAGAUAAUGACGGUACCGCAAGAAUAAGCCCCGGCUAACUUCGUGCCAGCAGCCGCCGUAACAC
rnacentral:rRNA from 1 species